GACGAACGCUGGCGGCGUGCUUAACACAUGCAAGUCGAACGAUGAACUUGGAGCUUGCUCUGGGGGAUUAGUGGCGAACGGGUGAGUAACACGUGAGUAACCUGCCCUGGACUCUGGGAUAACUUCGAGAAAUCGGAGCUAAUACCGGAUAGGACCUUGCACCGCAAGGUGUGGGGUGGAAAGUUUUUCGGUUUGGGAUGGACUCGCGGCCUAUCAGCUUGUUGGUGGGGUAAUGGCUCACCAAGGCGUCGACGGGUAGCCGGCCUGCGAGGGUGACCAGCCACACUGGGACUGAGACACGGCCCAGACUCCGACGGGAGGCAGCAGUGGGGAAUAUUGCACAAUGGGCGGAAGCCUGAUGCAGCAACGCCGCGUGCGGGAUGACGGCCUUCGGGUUGUAAACCGCUUUUAGUAGGGAAGAAGCCUUCGGGUGACGGUACCUGCAGAAAAAGGACCGGCUAACUACGUGCCAGCCGCCGCCGUAAGAC
rnacentral:rRNA from 1 species